rnacentral:rRNA from 1 species
UACAGAGGGUGCAAGCGUUAAUCGGAAUUACUGGGCGUAAAGGGUGUGUAGGCGGUUGUUUAAGUUUGGUGUGAAAUCUCCCGGGCUCAACUGGGAAGUGCGCCGAAUACUGAAUGACUAGAGUGCGGGAGAGGAAAGUGGAAUUCCUGGUGUAGCGGUGAAAUGCGUAGAUAUCAGGAGGAACACCGGUGGUGUAGACGGCUUUCUGGACCGUAACUGACGCUGAGACACGAAAGCGUGGGUAGCAAACAGG